GGUUAAGCGACUAAGCGUACACGGUGGAUGCCCUGGCAGUCAGAGGCGAUGAAGGACGUGCUAAUCUGCGAAAAGCGUCGGUAAGGUGAUAUGAACCGUUAUAACCGGCGAUGUCCGAAUGGGGAAACCCAGUGUGAUUCGUCACACUAUCGUUAACUGAAUACAUAGGUUAACGAGGCGAACCGGGGGAACUGAAACAUCUAAGUACCCCGAGGAAAAGAAAUCAACCGAGAUUCCCCCAGUAGCGGCGAGCGAACGGGGAGCAGCCCAGAGUCUGAAUCAGCUUGUGUGUUAGUGGAACGGUCUGGAAAGUCCGACGGUACAGGGUGAUAGUCCCGUACACCAAAAUGCACAGGUUGUGAACUCGAAGAGUAGGGCGGGACACGUGGUAUCCUGUCUGAAUAUGGGGGGACCAUCCUCCAAGGCUAAAUACUCCUGACUGACCGAUAGUGAACCAGUACCGUGAGGGAAAGGCGAAAAGAACCCCGGCGAGGGGAGUGAAAAAGAACCUGAAACCGUGUACGUACAAGCAGUGGGAGCACCUUCGGGUGUGACUGCGUACCUUUUGUAUAAUGGGUCAGCGACUUAUAUUCUGUAGCAAGGUUAACCGUAUAGGGGAGCCGCAGGGAAACCGAGUCUUAACUGGGCGUUAAGUUGCAGGGUAUAGACCCGAAACCCGGUGAUCUAGCCAUGGGCAGGUUGAAGGUUGGGUAACACUAACUGGAGGACCGAACCGACUAAUGUUGAAAAAUUAGCGGAUGACUUGUGGCUGGGGGUGAAAGGCCAAUCAAACCGGGAGAUAGCUGGUUCUCCCCGAAAGCUAUUUAGGUAGCGCCUCGUGAACUCAUCUUCGGGGGUAGAGCACUGUUUCGGCUAGGGGGGCAUCCCGACUUACCAACCCGAUGCAAACUACGAAUACCGAAGAAUGUUAUCACGGGAGACACACGGCGGGUGCUAACGUCCGUCGUGAAGAGGGAAACAACCCAGACCGCCAGCUAAGGUCCCAAAGUCAUGGUUAAGUGGGAAACGAUGUGGGAAGGCACAGACAGCCAGGAUGUUGGCUUAGAAGCAGCCAUCAUUUAAAGAAAGCGUAAUAGCUCACUGGUCGAGUCGGCCUGCGCGGAAGAUGUAACGGGGCUAAACCAUGCACCGAAGCUGCGGCAGCGACACUAUGUGUUGUUGGGUAGGGGAGCGUUCUGUAAGCCUGCGAAGGUGUGCUGUGAGGCAUGCUGGAGGUAUCAGAAGUGCGAAUGCUGACAUAAGUAACGAUAAAGCGGGUGAAAAGCCCGCUCGCCGGAAGACCAAGGGUUCCUGUCCAACGUUAAUCGGGGCAGGGUGAGUCGACCCCUAAGGCGAGGCCGAAAGGCGUAGUCGAUGGGAAACAGGUUAAUAUUCCUGUACUUGGUGUUACUGCGAAGGGGGGACGGAGAAGGCUAUGUUAGCCGGGCGACGGUUGUCCCGGUUUAAGCAUGUAGGCUGAUUGUCCAGGCAAAUCCGGAUAAUCAAGGCUGAGGUGUGAUGACGAGGCACUACGGUGCUGAAGUAACAAAUGCCCUGCUUCCAGGAAAAGCCUCUAAGCAUCAGGUAACAUCAAAUCGUACCCCAAACCGACACAGGUGGUCAGGUAGAGAAUACCAAGGCGCUUGAGAGAACUCGGGUGAAGGAACUAGGCAAAAUGGUGCCGUAACUUCGGGAGAAGGCACGCUGGUGUGUAGGUGAAGUCCCUGCGGAUGGAGCUGAGACCAGUCGAAGAUACCAGCUGGCUGCAACUGUUUAUUAAAAACACAGCACUGUGCAAACACGAAAGUGGACGUAUACGGUGUGACGCCUGCCCGGUGCCGGAAGGUUAAUUGAUGGGGUUAUCCGUAAGGAGAAGCUCUUGAUCGAAGCCCCGGUAAACGGCGGCCGUAACUAUAACGGUCCUAAGGUAGCGAAAUUCCUUGUCGGGUAAGUUCCGACCUGCACGAAUGGCGUAAUGAUGGCUAGGCUGUCUCCACCCGAGACUCAGUGAAAUUGAACUCGCUGUGAAGAUGCAGUGUACCCGCGGCAAGACGGAAAGACCCCGUGAACCUUUACUAUAGCUUGACACUGAACAUUGAGCCUUGAUGUGUAGGAUAGGUGGGAGGCUUUGAAGCGUGGACGCCAGUCUGCGUGGAGCCAACCUUGAAAUACCACCCUUUAAUGUUUGAUGUUCUAACGUUGGCCCCUUACCGGGGUUGCGGACAGUGUCUGGUGGGUAGUUUGACUGGGGCGGUCUCCUCCCAAAGCGUAACGGAGGAGCACGAAGGUUAGCUAAUCCUGGUCGGACAUCAGGAGGUUAGUGCAAUGGCAUAAGCUAGCUUGACUGCGAGCGUGACGGCGCGAGCAGGUGCGAAAGCAGGUCAUAGUGAUCCGGUGGUUCUGAAUGGAAGGGCCAUCGCUCAACGGAUAAAAGGUACUCCGGGGAUAACAGGCUGAUACCGCCCAAGAGUUCAUAUCGACGGCGGUGUUUGGCACCUCGAUGUCGGCUCAUCACAUCCUGGGGCUGAAGUAGGUCCCAAGGGUAUGGCUGUUCGCCAUUUAAAGUGGUACGCGAGCUGGGUUUAGAACGUCGUGAGACAGUUCGGUCCCUAUCUGCCGUGGGCGCUGGAGAAUUGAGGGGGGCUGCUCCUAGUACGAGAGGACCGGAGUGGACGCAUCACUGGUGUUCGGGUUGUCAUGCCAAUGGCACUGCCCGGUAGCUAAAUGCGGAAGAGAUAAGUGCUGAAAGCAUCUAAGCACGAAACUUGCCCCGAGAUGAGUUCUCCCUGAGACUUUAAGUCUCCUGAAGGAACGUUGAAGACGACGACGUUGAUAGGCCGGGUGUGUAAGCGCAGCGAUGCGUUGAGCUAACCGGUACUAAUGAACCGUGAGGCUUAACCUU
rnacentral:rRNA from 1 species